rnacentral:misc_RNA from 1 species
GGGUAAAACGCGAAGCGCGGGGCGUCCGGCAUGCCAUAGUGGUCGUGUCGUAUCGGAUAAACGCUGGAGCUGUAUCGAUAACCGGCUUUUUUCAGAGCCGCUUGUGCCCACAGAUUGGUGCUGCCUAUGGAGAAGCUGGGCGCACGGUAGCCCUGCACCGCCACGCCCCCAAUAUCCUCGAGCAGGCGCUUGGCAUGAGUUACGUCCUCAUCAAACUCC